GGACCCGUAGCCCAAUUGGUAGAGGCAUGCGCCUUAGAAGCGUAGUGUUGUGAGUUCGAAUCUCACCGGGUCUACCA
rnacentral:tRNA from 1 species